GAUGAACGCUGGCGGCGUGCCUAACACAUGCAAGUCGAGCGGCAGCGAGGGGUGCUUGCACCCUGUCGGCGAGCGGCGGACGGCUGAGUAACGCGUGGGAACGUGCCCCAAAGUGAGGAAUAACUGCCCGAAAGGGUAGCUAAUACCGCAUAUUAUCUUCGGAUCAAAGGAUUUAUCCGCUUUGGGAGCGGCUCGCGUCGGAUUAGGUAGUUGGUGAGGUAAUGGCUCACCAAGCCGACGAUCCGUAGCUGGUCUGAGAGGAUGACCAGCCAGACUGGAACUGAGACACGGUCCAGACUCCUACGGGAAGCAGCAGUGAGGAAUCUUCCACAAUGGGCGAAAGCCUGAUGGAGCAACGCCGCGUGCAGGACGAAGGCCUUCGGGUUGGAAACUGCUUUUAUAAGUGAGGAAUAUGACGGUAACUUAUGAAUAAGGAUCGGCUAACUACGUG
rnacentral:rRNA from 1 species